rnacentral:rRNA from 1 species
GAUUAACGCUAGCGGCAGGCAUAAUACAUGCAAGUUGAACGAGAUUAGUUUUAGCAAUAGAACUAGUUUAGUGGCGCACGGGUGCGUAACGCGUAUGCAACCUACCUUAAACAGGGGAAUAGCCUCUCGAAAGAGAGAUUAAUACCGCAUAAUAUAUAUUUAAUGCAUAUUAGAUAUAUUAAACCUACGGGGGUUUAAGAUGGGCAUGCGUGACAUUAGCUAGUUGGUGAGGUAACGGCUCACCAAGGCAACGAUGUCUAGGGGGUCUGAGAGGAUGUCCCCCCACACUGGUACUGAGACACGGACCAGACUCCUACGGGAGGCAGCAGUAGGGAAUAUGGUCAAUGGGGGCAACCCUGAACCAGCCAUG